CUUCACAAGAGUAGACGUACAUUUAACGUGUUUAUUGCUCACUUAUCUUAUCUCGGCGUUUAGUGACCAAAUAAAACGAGUUCAGGGCUGUCUUCAGUUGUCCGUGUUGUUUCAAUUGAGUUCUUAAAAUGAAGUUCUCAACGAAUUUUGAAUUUUGGUACCAAAUAAAAGCAAUGACAAUAAGAAAUAUGCUCAUUAAACGGAGGGAAAUCAAAAAAACAUUAUCUGAAAUCGCUAUUCCAGUGUACACAUUAGGACUUUUAGUUGCGAUAAAAUUAUUGAUACCUAAUCCUCAUUUUCCACCAGUAACGGUACCUCAAGAAUCUCCUGAUAUGUAUAAUUAUUUAUACGGAAAUAUAACUGUAGCCCCGUCGACAAAACAUGUACAGAUUUUUUUAGAAAAAAUGAAUGAAAUUUGGAUGCAGCGAGACGGAGAAAAAAUUAAUUUUAGUGUUUAUCAAAACAAAGAUGAUAUAUCUGAAAUACAAAGAAAUAAUCCGGAAAUGGUUUACAUAGCCUUAUUAUUCGAUGAUGAUCCUAUUCAAAAUCAUUCGUUAAGUUAUAAGAUUCGUACUAAUCCGUUUUACGAUUCAUCACCAUUACCAUCUAAACUUUAUGGAUCAAGCCAUCAAUGUCGAAAAGUAUCUGCUAAUAAAUUAACGAAAAAGUUUCUCCAUCGGCAUCACCAUAAUAACAAUCUACAUAAUGAAGAAAUAUUAUGUCCAGCAAUUCAUUACAUAUACUCUGGAUUUAUAGCCCUUCAGACUCUAGUUGAUAUCACCAAGAUUUCUCUGGUUACUAAUUCGUCUAUAACAUUACCAGAUUAUAGUUUUGUUCUUUUUCCUAAACCAGCUUAUACAGCAAAUUGGUUAAUGGUAUUUCAUAUGGUUAUACCUCUUUAUGUAGUGAUUGCUUUAUCGCAAUUUAUUACAUAUCUUUUAGUACAGUUAGUUGGCGAGAAAGAAAGGAAGAUAAAAGAAGGAAUGAAAAUAAUGGGUCUUAGAGAAUUGGUAUUUUGGUGUUCAUGGUUCAACAUCUACGCAGCUUAUGUAGUAGUACUUUCAUUAGCCAGUACUAUAAUAUUAUACUUACUAGGAGUUUUCAAUAACACUAACUGGAUUUUAAUAUUUUUAUUAGUAUUUUUGUACUCGAUUACAGUGAUUUUCUUCAGUUUUAUGAUUUCUCCAUUCUUCGACAAAUCACGAACAGCUGGAAUUCUAGGAAAUUUUGUACUGAAUUUGAUAAGCCUUUUGUAUUUUUUGCAUAAUUUUAUUGACCCGUCAAGUAAAAAACUAAUGUGGUUAAUAUCCUUAUUAAGUCCAUCGGGUUUUGCAUUAGCUAUUGAUAAAGCUAUGGAAAUGGACUUGGCGGGUGAAGGCCUUCAUUUUAGUAAUAUUUGGGAUGGUCCAGGAAUGUCGUUUGGCGAAAGUUUAGUAAUCAUGGCAUUUGAUGCACUUAUCUACGUGAUUCUAGCUUAUUAUUUUGACAUGAUUUUGUCAAGUCAAUAUGAACGAAAUCGUUCUCCUUGGGUUUGUUUUAAUACUUCAUAUUGGUGUACUAAGGUUCCAGAAUCAAUAGAAUUUGAUGAAAUUGAUAGAUAUACCGUCUCAAAUCCUGACUUAGAACCUGUACCAGAGUCCAUGAAAGAACUUAAAGCAAUUCAAAUAACAAAUCUCUGCAAGUCUUUCAAAGGAUCAACAAAAAAUGUUAUAAACGGUAUAAAUAUGACAAUAUACGAAGGAGAGAUAACUGCUAUUUUAGGGCACAAUGGUGCUGGCAAAACAACAUUAUUUAAUAUACUAACGGGACUUACUGAACCAACAUCUGGCACAAUAAAAGUAUUUGGCUAUGAUGUUAGAAAUUCAUCAGAUGUGAUUAAAAUAAGAAGAAUGAUUGGGGUUUGCCCUCAAUAUGAUAUAUUGUUUGAACGACUUACUCCUAGAGAACAUCUAAAAUUCUUCGCUACUCUUAGAGGACUAACUUCAGAAAAAAUUGAUGAUGAAGUUCAAAAAAUGCUUUUAGAACUUUAUUUAACUGAUAAAGCAGAUAAUAUAGCAAAAACUUUAAGUGGAGGACAGAAACGAAAGUUAUCGGUUGGUAUCGCAGUAAUUGGAAAUCCAAAGAUCAUAAUACUCGAUGAACCUACCGCAGGUGUUGAUCCACCAGCAAGAAGACAUUUAUGGUCACUUCUUCAAAAAAGAAAAAAAGGAAAGGUGAUACUAUUAACAACUCAUUUUAUGGAUGAAGCUGACAUCUUAGCUAAUCGUAUAGCUGUAAUAUCAAAAGGAUGUGUAAGAUGUUGUGGUUCUUCUAUAUUCCUUAAAAAUAAAUUUGGUAUUGGAUAUCAUUUAACAUUAAUUCUAAAUAACAAUGCAAAAGAAAAUUCGAUAAUAAAAAUGAUUAAAGAACACGUACCAAAUGCAGAACGAGCAAGACGCCAUGGAUACGAGUUAUCUUUUGUACUACCAUAUGACAGUGUGAGUAAAUUCCCGCUCUUGUUUAGACAAAUUGAAACAGAAAUUAGAUCUACAACUAACGACUUGGGUAUUGAAAACUAUGGUGUAUCAAUGACUACAUUAGAAGAAGUAUUUUUGUAUCUUGAACAAGGCCAACAUGACAAUGCUGGAAAAUUAGCAAUUGAAUUAUUAAAAGGACAAUCGGUGACAAAUUUUAAUAGGGGAUCAAUUGAUACAAUACAUAAUGUUACUGUGAGAUCAAGCAUUAUAUAUGAUCCAACUAAUUGGAGUACAAUUAUUGCCCUGCUAAAAAUGCGAACCAAACGAGUAUUACGAGAUGUUCAUAAGCUUUAUGUUAUGAUAUUAUUACCUGUCGUAUUCUUAGCUACUGGAAUUAUCUUAAACAAAUUAAGUCAUGAAAUUCAACCAAUACGAAAUAUUACUUUAAAUAAUAAUGUAUAUAAAGAAGACAGUCGACUAGUUGUAACUUCUGAAGAAUUUUCAAAUUAUUCAACACUGGAUUCAGAUUUUUACACUGGCACGUUUUCCGGAUUAUUAGAUUUGCCUUCCCACCUAGGAGCUUUGCGAGAACGGCACUCAUAUAAUACAACUUAUUCAUCAAUAUUAGCACUUACAGUUUAUUAUAAUGACUCAUUUAUACAUUCGUUGCCGAUAAUAUUGAAUUCUAUCACUAGCACCUUACUUGGAGAUCAAAUUGAUAUUAAAACAGAACCGUUUAAAAUGGAAUACAAGCAAAAUGAGUACAGUUUUAGUCGUUGUUCAUCUGCAUUUUUCUUAGGAAUAGUAUUUGUUUUAGUUCCUGUGAGUUUAUCUGCUGAUCUAGUCUAUGAUAGAGAGAUUAAAGCCAAAAACCAGCUUCGUAUCAACGGUGUAACUUUUAUGCAAUAUUUCAGUUCUUAUUUUAUUCUUUUAAUUUCAAUGUUACUUAGCAUAUUCUGUAUACUUAUAAUUCUUAUAGCUUUAUUCCAUGUUGAAGGUUUAGAUUCUCCUUUUGCAAUAACAACCAUGGUAAUAUUACUUACAGCAUAUUGUCCUGCGGCAAUAUUAUCUACUGCGUGUGUAUCAUAUUUUUUUGAAAAAACUGAUUCAGUACAGUCUAUACUACCAAAUGUGACCUCACUAAUUGGUGGUGUACCAUUUAUAAUAGUAGCUUCACUAGAUAUGCUGGGUAUACUUAGUGAUUUAGGAUUUGCACUUCAUGUUCUAUUUUCUUCCACUAAUUUCGUCUAUGUGCCUUUCGCCAUAAUUUACUUCAUAAAUAGUGUAUAUCGGGAAAACGAUGAUCAUGUUCCUUUUAUAAAAUAUGUUAAUAAAGAAAUAGUUGCAAUUUUAAUGGGUUGCAUAGGCCAAAUUCCAGCAUUAUGGGUUAUUUUAAAGAUAUUAGAUUCUAAAUCAAAAAAUAAAAAAACUUCAACAAUUACUAUUGAUACUCAAGAUGAGGGUGACGAUGAUGUAAAAACUGAACGGAUCAAAGUAAAUAAUAUUAUCAACGAUCAAGUGGAUUGGCCAGUAAUUGUUGUUCAGAAUUUAAAAAAAGAGUUCUCAACCCAAAAUUUGAACUCAAAUAUAAAUUGUCUAAUAAAAAAAAAAUGUACGAAUACAAAUAAUGAGAGAAAACUUGCAAUUCGAAAUCUAUCAUUAGCUGUAAAUUCAGGAGAAGUUCUUGGAUUGUUAGGUCAUAAUGGUGCUGGAAAAACAACAACUAUGCGCAUUAUCACCAUGGAAGAAAAAGAGUCAUCAGGAAAAGACAUGAUAUUCAAGAAUCUGUAGAUAUUGCAUAUAGAAUGAUUGGAUAUUGCCCUCAACAUGAUGCUUUAUGGAGUUCAUUAACAAUCAGAGAACACUUGCAUGUUUAUGGUGCUAUUCGAGGAAUCUCAAAAGAUCAAAUUAAAAAUAUUGUCGAAAAAUAUAUUGAAGGCCUUCAAAUAACUGAACAUGCAGAUAAACAGGUUAGUUGUUGUUCAGGUGGAACAAAACGAAAAUUAAGUUUUGCUUUAGCAAUGAUUGGAAAUCCAAAGUUGGUAUUGCUGGA
rnacentral:misc_RNA from 1 species